rnacentral:rRNA from 1 species
GGGUGAGUAACACGUGGGUAACCUGCCUGUAAGACUGGGAUAACUCCGGGAAACCGGGGCUAAUACCGGAUGGUUGUUUGAACCGCAUGGUUCAGACAUAAAAGGUGGCUUCGGCUACCACUUACAGAUGGACCCGCGGCGCAUUAGCUAGUUGGUGAGGUAACGGCUCACCAAGGCGACGAUGCGUAGCCGACCUGAGAGGGUGAUCGGCCACACUGGGACUGAGACACGGCCCAGACUCCUACGGGAGGCAGCAGUAGGGAAUCUUCCGCAAUGGACGAAAGUCUGACGGAGCAACGCCGCGUGAGUGAUGAAGGUUUUCGGAUCGUAAAGCUCUGUUGUUAGGGAAGAACAAGUGCCGUUCAAAUAGGGCGGCACCUUGACGGUACCUAACCAGAAAGCCACGGCUAACUACGUGCCAGCAGCCGCGGUAAUACGUAGGUGGCAAGCGUUGUCCGGAAUUAUUGGGCGUAAAGGGCUCGCAGGCGGUUUCUUAAGUCUGAUGUGAAAGCCCCCGGCUCAACCGGGGAGGGUCAUUGGAAACUGGGGAACUUGAGUGCAGAAGAGGAGAGUGGAAUUCCACGUGUAGCGGUGAAAUGCGUAGAGAUGUGGAGGAACACCAGUGGCGAAGGCGACUCUCUGGUCUGUAACUGACGCUGAGGAGCGAAAGCGUGGGGAGCGAACAGGAUUAGAUACCCUGGUAGUCCACGCCGUAAACGAUGAGUGCUAAGUGUUAGGGGGUUUCCGCCCCUUAGUGCUGCAGCUAACGCAUUAAGCACUCCGCCUGGGGAGUACGGUCGCAAGACUGAAACUCAAAGGAAUUGACGGGGGCCCGCACAAGCGGUGGAGCAUGUGGUUUAAUUCGAAGCAACGCGAAGAACCUUACCAGGUCUUGACAUCCUCUGACAAUCCUAGAGAUAGGACGUCCCCUUCGGGGGCAGAGUGACAGGUGGUGCAUGGUUGUCGUCAGCUCGUGUCGUGAGAUGUUGGGUUAAGUCCCGCAACGAGCGCAACCCUUGAUCUUAGUUGCCAGCAUUCAGUUGGGCACUCUAAGGUGACUGCCGGUGACAAACCGGAGGAAGGUGGGGAUGACGUCAAAUCAUCAUGCCCCUUAUGACCUGGGCUACACACGUGCUACAAUGGACAGAACAAAGGGCAGCGAAACCGCGAGGUUAAGCCAAUCCCACAAAUCUGUUCUCAGUUCGGAUCGCAGUCUGCAACUCGACUGCGUGAAGCUGGAAUCGCUAGUAAUCGCGGAUCAGCAUGCCGC